GCUGAUCGAAGGAUUAAAUAUUUGUUUACAUCUGAGUUACUUUAAAUAUCACUUUUUUUGCUUAGAAGACUAUAAAGAACUGGUUACCCUGAAACUAAAACUUGAAAAUGAGAGCAAUAUAGAAAAUAGAAAACAAUUGACCUAUAACAGGAAUAUUUACAAAAGAAAAUUACAAAAUGCGUUAUUAGAAGAUAAGAAAAAUUUAUGCACCAAAAAUACAGACUUGAAGACCGUUAAAAAAAAAAAUAAUAAAGAAAAAGCAUAUUAUAGCGCAAGACAGGCAUGAUAGAGACGAAUUAGAUAUAAACAAGGAUGUAUCAAAAGUUGUGGAAGAUGGAAUAAACGAAAAUAUACCUGAAGUUUCAAAUAAUAUUGUAUCCACUGAUAGGCACGGCAAAGACGAAUUAGAUAUAAACAGAGAUGUGUUAAGUAUUGCGGUAGAUGGAAUAAACGGAAAUAUACCUAAAGUUUCAAAUACUAUUGUAUCCACUAAUAGACACGACAAAAACGAAUUAAAUAUAAACAAAAAUGUGUCAAAUAUUGCGGAAGAUGGAAUAGACGGAAAUAUACCUGAAGUUUCAAAUAAUAUUGUAUCCACUGAUAGGCACGGCAAAGACGAAUUAGAUAUAAACAGAGAUGUGUUUAGUAUUGCGGUAGAUGGAAUAAACGCAAAUAUACC